rnacentral:rRNA from 1 species
GAUGAACGCUAGCUACAGGCUUCACACAUGCAAGUCGAGGGACCGGCGCACGGGUGAGUAACACGUCUCCAACCUGCCCUUUACUCGGGGAUAGCCUUUCGACAGAAAGAUUAAUACCCGAUAUAAAGGAUGGGGAUGCAUUCCAUUAGGUUGUUGGUGAGGUACCGGCCCACCAAGCCUUCGAUGGAUAGGGGUUCUGAGAGGAAGGUCACCAACAUUGGAAAUGAGACACGGGCCAAACUCCGACGGGAGGCAGCAGUGAGGAAUAUUGGUCAAUGGGCGGUAGCCGGAACCAGCCAAGUAGCGUGAAGGAUGAAGGCUUAUGGGGCGUAAACUGCUUUUAUAUAAGAAUAUGUAUUAUAUGAAUAAGGAUCGGCUAACUCCGUGCCAGCAGCCGCGGUAAUUC